GCUUACGGCCACACCGGCCCUGAGUACGCCUGAUCUCGUCCGAUCUCGGAAGCUAAGCAGGGUCGGGCCUGGUUAGUACUUGGAUGGGAGACCGCCUGGGAAUACCAGGUGCUGUAAGCU
ensembl:rRNA 5S_rRNA 5S ribosomal RNA